rnacentral:lncRNA from 1 species
AUGUCUGAGGCAACUUUCAUUGUCUGGGUACAGUUCAUCAUGUUAAUAACUGGAAGCAUGUAUGCAGAUAGCAAAAAAAAAAACCCUCCUGCGACUAAACCAAUUCUAAAAACAAAUCCAGGAGAAAUAUUUGAACAGAAACCCCUUCCAGCAGCAAUUGUUCCAAGAACAAGAAAGACCGGACGAGAAUUUUUCUGGUUCCAACACUACAUAUAUUGUCGUUGCAUAUCAAGACUUCUUUUUUUCUUUUUUUGGUCUUUUUUUAAAACAGGAAAGAUUGAUAAGAAAAGGAGGAAGUCAACAGUUUUUAGAACAAGGUGUAGCUAAAGAUUGUAUUUAAACGCAUGCCCUCGGGUGUGCAUUAUCAUACGUUCGACUUCGCCGGGAAACAUUUUGGAAUAUGAAAUGAAUAAUGUGGAUAUUAUAAAAUGGUUGUCUCGGAAUUAAAUUGUAAGAUAUUGAUGUGUCAUAAUAAUAAAAUAGAAAACACUUUUAAUAUCAGCGGUGAGCACCGUGAUCCCUUCACAAUUUAUUUUGUGGUUGGUGUUUUUUUGUUUUUUUUUUUCCUGCACAAAAACCUUGGAAAGGAAAGCGAGCAGAGCCCCACGCUGUGAGCCAUCCCAGCCCUGCACACGGCGAUGCCUCCGCAAGGAUUAAGCACUAAGCACGGCAUUCUCUUUGCAGCCAAAGUUGGGCACAUAUUAAAUAAGUAGCUUAAUCAGCUCUUAAAAAUCUGUCUGUGGUACGAAACAGAAUUCAAACAAAAGACCUCUGUCAAAGUUAUCUUGGAAAAAAAAAAAUACAAGCUAUGUUAUUUAUCUUUUUUUUUUUUUUUGUAAGCAGGUAUCUUUUUAAACACAUCCCCAGAAAUUUGUGGUCUGUGUAUUUUACUUAUUUUCCCACGUUUUCUCUUGUUUUGUUUUUUUUGUUUGUUUUUGGCUUCUUGUCUCUCCACCUCUGCAGAUGCUUCUCUGCGUUCACUUGCGUGUUGGACUGAAGGAUGGGUAGGAAAAGCCUGAAGCACCAUAAAUUUGGAACCCAACUCCACAAUAAUUGAUUUUGAAAAAAUAAUAAUAAUAAUAAAAAAUAGCUUAUACCUACACUCUCCUAACAAUCUCCAGAGGAGCUUUCCCCAAGGACUGAGUUUGGGUCCUGCAGCAGCUGGGGCUGUUUUAUUGUGCACCCCACAAGACCAAGGGCAAGAGCUGGGGGCUGGCCGAGUUUGCAGCCCCCUCCUUGCACAUCCUCUGCCCGGCAGUUCCCAGCACUGAAGGAAAUGCCAGGCUGAAGGCAAGGCCACGUCCCUGGCCAUGAGCCUGGGAGCAUCCCCUGAGGAAACCAGGGAGAAUUUUUCCCCCGGUGGGGUUUUCUUC